AGUCGGGUCCUGUACAAUUUAGGAUCAUGAACUCCGCCAGGUCUGGAAGGAAGCAACGGUAAUGAACCCCUGAAUGUGUUACAGGGUGCCCGGCUAUC
rnacentral:SRP_RNA from 1 species